UUCAAAUCAUAUCUAAAAAUACAAAUACAGUAGCAAAAGAUACAACAGAGGGAAACAUCGAUAUCAUAGAUCCAGGAGGGAAUUCGCAUCAGGUAUGCACCAAUGAUCAUGAAGAAAUUGCUGCUGAAGUUUCUAAACAGGACAAUAAUGAUUUCCUGACCAAUCAGCCAUAUGAAGUUGCCACAACAAUAGAACCAAUACAAGCUCAUGACCUACCUACCCUUGUAAAUCCUACAGAUACAGAUAUGGAUGAGGAAUCCACUG
rnacentral:lncRNA from 1 species